GCCGUGAUCGAGAUCCAGCGCAUUGUGCGCUUCUUGAAGGAGCGCAAUAUCGGCGUGCUGAUCACCGAUCAUAAUG
rnacentral:tRNA from 1 species